UUAGUAACCGGCAAACAGGAGGCACAAGUUAGGACACACCUCCACAAUGUAGACUCAAAUUACACCAAAGGGGCAUCAUAGACUACAUUAUGGAAAGGACCCCUACAGAGAAAUAUAACGUUUUUCUUUACCUUUCGCUUGAUCCGGUCUGUUUGUUAUUCCAAGUCUCGCUCACAGAGAAGUCUUCUUCUUCUGAAAUCUCGCGAGACAACGAUGGAAAUCGAGAUGCUAAGGACGAGGUUCUCGGACCCAGUCAUCAUCAUUCCCAGGGUGCUGCUGGAGGAGAGCCACCACCACCGCUGGAAAGACCCGAACCUCGGAAGAGCAGCGGAGUCGUACGCUUUGCCCUAGAUGUCAACCAGACGGAGUAGUUCUGCCUGACGAGGCCGAUAUCUUAAACCGACUGAUGCCCUGUACUGUAAAUAGCUAGUAUUUGCAACUAAGUUGGAUUAUGACAAAAGAGGUGAAAAAAUAAUGUUCCGCUAUCCAAGAGGCAGCCCACACAUUUGAAACACGCAUGUUUGACCCAUGGAAUUAUCACAAAGGUGCUAUAUCAUUUUCUGGUUUCAUGCCAUUUGUUUUCAAAAAAUAUGCCAAUAUCAUUAGAAAUACCACACCAUAAAGUGCUUAUACUACAAUUACAAAAGAAACUGUACGGUUUUAGUGUAAAUAAAUAAUCAUACUUGCAGAUUA